GUACUAACCACUAUACGAUCACGGCGAGCUACUGGGACGCCACGAGGAGCGCAUCAUUGAGUGUCGUCCUCGUCUAGGUGGCUGCCGCUCUCGCCUUCCCAAGCCGCUCACUGUCGACCAGGCCCCUCUGGCCCUGGCGCCCAGCCCGAAGUGGAGUAGGGGCGCCGUGGACGCCUGGCCGAAGUCUCUGCUGGUCGUCCGCACGACCCGUGAAGGAGAGGACAUGAAAGUCCUCUGCAAACUAAAGGACUCCUAGGAGGCCAGGCCUACGUCCGGGACUCUCACGCAGCCUGUACGAAUGUGAGGCCCGGGGGUCGCUCGAAUGGCGGCGCUGGGCCCCUAUCACACCCACCGUGCCCUGGCGCUCACGCUAUCUGAAUGGGCUCUUGCUAGGAAUGGGGCCGCCUCUUAAAUCCCACAAGAAGGAAAAUCAGUUCGGACCCAGCCGCACAACUUCCUUCGAGAUGCGGAGUAAAGGGAACUCGCAGAAAACACACGCCUCGGUAAUGAAGCAGUGGGAUCUGGCGGCCCGCAAAAAGCCACUGCCUACUGUGGACUCGGCCUGGUUCUAGGCGCCAUGGAGGCGAGAGCACUGAUGUACAAGAAGAAGAAUCAGACCCAGUCCCUGCUGCGCCCAGGGACGCAACAGAGGAGGGCACCGUGUCCGGCGGGAGCCCUACGGAGGGACGAGUCAGGGCCGUCGCGGGAAUAAGAGAAACAAGGAAGCGGGUGCUGGAGGCGGGGAGAACGGCAGGGUGUGUUCACUGAGUCCCUUCUAAGUGGACAGCCCAGUUCUGCGGGCAUCUACAUUAUCCGUAGAGAGAAGCCCUGAGGAGCGCACCCCGGCAGGUUUGGGGUCGCUGGAAGGGUCUCCGGGACAGAGGAGAUGGGUGUCCUCCAAGGAAUGAGAGUUACACAGCUUGUGAACACUCAGCUCCGGCCAGUCCCGUCUCUGGAUGCCCAAGUGGUACCCCCUAAACUCUUACAUGGAACCCACCCUUUCCCACUGCAUCAUCCCCACCUCCCGUGGCUAAUGGGCCAAAACAGGAGAGAACCAGACCAACUGACAAGAGAGCAAUGCGCCUGCGCAUUCUCAGACCCGGCCUUAGGCCGGAACCCGCCCCAUAGGUGGACCUUUUGGUGACGUGCUGAAUGGGAAGGCCUUUAACUGUUGAAGAAGACAAUCAGAAAGGGCCGCUGACAGGUCCCCGGUAGCUCGCCGUGAUCGUAUAGUGGUUAGUACUCUGCGUUGUGGCCGCAGCAACCUCGGUUCGAAUCCGAGUCACGGCAUUGUGGGAACAAUGGCACGGCAAGGGGCUUAUCUUUUCUAAUUCCUUUUUUUCCCCCCAGCCCAUAACACUUUGUAUAAAUCGUGACUCAUUUUUUAAAAAUGAAACGCUGCAUCUCUCUCCUCUGAAAACUGAAACACCUCUAUGAUCACCACCUUCAGUAAUUCUCAUUUAAUUAUCUGAAUACAGCUUUAGAUCAAACAGUUGUAACCCCUUACCUCCUGAAAAUAAAUGGAAAAUCAGUGUCUAAAUCAUUCUCCUACACCAACAAAACAGCGCCCCUGUGGCCUUGCGAUUUUUUUCCUUUUCAUACAUUUAUUUUAAAAAAUGGUGUAUUCAUUAUCAAAUAGAGAAUACAUAUGCACAAGCCAGUGAAAAGUGUCUCCCUCUCAUUGUUCACCCUAUCUACCAAUUAUUGCCAGUUUCCAAUAUAUUUUUAUGUGGCAGUCUUUGUGUAAAUAAAUAUUUAUAUAUGUA